GGCAAUGGAGGAAACUCUGACCGAGCAACGCCGCGUGAAUGACGAAGUACUUCGGUAUGUAAAAUUCUUUUAUUAAGGAAGAAAAGCAAAUGGCGAACCAUUUGUUUGCCGGUACCUGAUGAAUAAGCCCCGGCUAAUUAUGUGCCAGCAGCCGCGGUAAGACAUAAGGGGCAAGUGUUAUCCGGAAUUAUUGGGCGUAAAGGGUGCGUAGGCGGUCUAGUAAGUCAGUGGUGUAAUGGCAACGCUUAACGUUGUCCGGCUAUUGAAACUGCUAAACUUGAGUUAGAUAGAGGCGAGUGGAAUUCCAUGUGUAGUGGUAAAAUGCGUAAAUAUAUGGAGGAACACCAGAGGCGUAGGCGGCUCGCUGGGUCUUAACUGACGCUGAGGCACGAAAGCGUGGGGAGCAAACAGGAUUAGAUACCCUGGUAGUCCACGCCGUAAACGAUGAGUACUAAGUGUCGGGUUAAACCGGUACUGAAGUUAACACAUUAAGUACUCCGCCUGAGUAGUACGUACGCAAGUAUGAAACUUAAAGGAAUUGACGGGACUCCGCACAAGCGGUGGAUCAUGUUGUUUAAUUCGAAGAUACCCGAAAAACCUUACCAGGUCUUGACAUGUUUUUGCAAAAUGAUAGUAAUAUCGUGGAGGUUACCAGAAACACAGGUGGUAGCAUGGUUGUCGUCAGCUCGUGUCGUGAGAUGUUAAGGUUAAGUCCUACAACGAGCGAAACCCUUAUCGUUAGUUGCCAGCACGUAAUGGGUGGGGACUUUAACGAAGACUGCCAAUGAUAAAUUGGAGGAAGGGUGAUGAUCACGGUCAAAUCAGCAUGCCCCUUAUGACCUGGGCUACAAACGUGAUACAAUGGCUGUUACAAAGGGUAGCUGAAACGCAAGGUGCUUGGCCAAUCCCCAAAAACAGUCCCAGUCCGGAUUGAAGUCUGCAACUCGACUUCAUGAAGUUGGAAUCGCUAGUAAUCGCGAAUCAGCAUGUCGCGGUGAAUACGUUCUCGGGGUUUGUACACACCGCCCGUCAAACCACGAAAGUUGGCAAUACCCCAAAACGGUAGCCUAACUCGUUUAUUCGAGAGGGCGCCGUCUAAGGUAGGGUCGAUGAUUGGGGUU
rnacentral:rRNA from 1 species